GGCUCCCCAGCUGCUGGCCGCUCCAAGUGUUUUGUAUUGAACAAUCGUAGGCAAAAAGUCCUGCGACCAACUCGUUCUUCAUGAUGCGUGAACGAGUGCGUCACCACUUGGUUGUUUGUAAACACUUGAUGGAUGCUGGUCAUAGGUGAAGCUGCUUUUGUGCCUUACACUCACUACAAAGCUACUGAGCAGUAAUUAUUAUCCGGCGUUGGUAGAAAUUGCUAUCGCGAACAACACACGUACGUAAACAAACACGCAUAAUCGAAGAAGGUGGUGGAAUUGAAGCGAUAAAAUCACUU